UUAAGCGACUAAGCGUACACGGUGGAUGCCCUGGCAGUCAGAGGCGAUGAAGGACGUGCUAAUCUGCGAAAAGCGACGGCGAGGUGAUAUGAACCCUUGACCCGUCGAUGUCCGAAUGGGGAAACCCAGUGCAAUUCGUUGCACUAUCGUUAACUGAAUACAUAGGUUAACGAGGCGAACCGGGGGAACUGAAACAUCUAAGUACCCCGAGGAAAAGAAAUCAACCGAGAUUCCCCCAGUAGCGGCGAGCGAACGGGGAGCAGCCCGGAGUCUGAAUCAGCUUGUGUGUUAGUGGAAGCGUCUGGAAAGUCGCACGGUACAGGGUGACAGUCCCGUACACGAAAAUGCACAGGUUGUGAACUCGAAGAGUAGGGCGGGACACGUGGUAUCCUGUCUGAAUAUGGGGGGACCAUCCUCCAAGGCUAAAUACUCCUGACUGACCGAUAGUGAACCAGUACCGUGAGGGAAAGGCGAAAAGAACCCCGGCGAGGGGAGUGAAAAAGAACCUGAAACCGUGUACGUACAAGCAGUGGGAGCACCUUCGUGGUGUGACUGCGUACCUUUUGUAUAAUGGGUCAGCGACUUAUAUUCUGUAGCAAGGUUAACCGUAUAGGGGAGCCGCAGGGAAACCGAGUCUUAACUGGGCGUUAAGUUGCAGGGUAUAGACCCGAAACCCGGUGAUCUAGCCAUGGGCAGGUUGAAGGUUGGGUAACACUAACUGGAGGACCGAACCGACUAAUGUUGAAAAAUUAGCGGAUGACCUGUGGCUGGGGGUGAAAGGCCAAUCAAACCGGGAGAUAGCUGGUUCUCCCCGAAAGCUAUUUAGGUAGCGCCUCGUGAACUCAUCUUCGGGGGUAGAGCACUGUUUCGGCUAGGGGGCCAUCCCGGCUUACCAACCCGAUGCAAACUACGAAUACCGAAGAAUGUUAUCACGGGAGACACACGGCGGGUGCUAACGUCCGUCGUGAAGAGGGAAACAACCCAGACCGCCAGCUAAGGUCCCAAAGUCAUGGUUAAGUGGGAAACGAUGUGGGAAGGCACAGACAGCCAGGAUGUUGGCUUAGAAGCAGCCAUCAUUUAAAGAAAGCGUAAUAGCUCACUGGUCGAGUCGGCCUGCGCGGAAGAUGUAACGGGGCUAAACCAUGCACCGAAGCUGCGGCAGCGACGCUUAUGCGUUGUUGGGUAGGGGAGCGUUCUGUAAGCCGUUGAAGGUGUGCUGUGAGGCAUGCUGGAGGUAUCAGAAGUGCGAAUGCUGACAUAAGUAACGAUAAAGCGGGUGAAAAGCCCGCUCGCCGGAAGACCAAGGGUUCCUGUCCAACGUUAAUCGGGGCAGGGUGAGUCGACCCCUAAGGCGAGGCCGAAAGGCGUAGUCGAUGGGAAACAGGUUAAUAUUCCUGUACUUGGUGUUACUGCGAAGGGGGGACGGAGAAGGCUAUGUCAGCCGGGCGACGGUUGUCCCGGUUUAAGCGUGUAGGUGUGUGUUCCAGGCAAAUCCGGUUCACUUUAACACUGAGGCGUGAUGACGAGGCACUACGGUGCUGAAGUGAUAAAUGCCCUGCUUCCAGGAAAAGCCUCUAAGCAUCAGGUAACAUCAAAUCGUACCCCAAACCGACACAGGUGGUCAGGUAGAGAAUACCAAGGCGCUUGAGAGAACUCGGGUGAAGGAACUAGGCAAAAUGGUGCCGUAACUUCGGGAGAAGGCACGCUGAUAUGUAGGUGAAGUCCCUGCGGACGGAGCUGAAAUCAGUCGAAGAUACCAGCUGGCUGCAACUGUUUAUUAAAAACACAGCACUGUGCAAACACGAAAGUGGACGUAUACGGUGUGACGCCUGCCCGGUGCCGGAAGGUUAAUUGAUGGGGUUAGCGGCAACGCGAAGCUCUUGAUCGAAGCCCCGGUAAACGGCGGCCGUAACUAUAACGGUCCUAAGGUAGCGAAAUUCCUUGUCGGGUAAGUUCCGACCUGCACGAAUGGCGUAAUGAUGGCCAGGCUGUCUCCACCCGAGACUCAGUGAAAUUGAACUCGCUGUGAAGAUGCAGUGUACCCGCGGCAAGACGGAAAGACCCCGUGAACCUUUACUAUAGCUUGACACUGAACACUGGUCCUUGAUGUGUAGGAUAGGUGGGAGGCUUUGAAGCGUGGACGCCAGUCUGCGUGGAGCCGUCCUUGAAAUACCACCCUUUAAUGGCUGGUGUUCUAACGUGGACCCGUGAUCCGGGUUGCGGACAGUGUCUGGUGGGUAGUUUGACUGGGGCGGUCUCCUCCCAAAGAGUAACGGAGGAGCACGAAGGUUAGCUAAUCCUGGUCGGACAUCAGGAGGUUAGUGCAAUGGCAUAAGCUAGCUUGACUGCGAGAGUGACGGCUCGAGCAGGUGCGAAAGCAGGUCAUAGUGAUCCGGUGGUUCUGAAUGGAAGGGCCAUCGCUCAACGGAUAAAAGGUACUCCGGGGAUAACAGGCUGAUACCGCCCAAGAGUUCAUAUCGACGGCGGUGUUUGGCACCUCGAUGUCGGCUCAUCACAUCCUGGGGCUGAAGUAGGUCCCAAGGGUAUGGCUGUUCGCCAUUUAAAGUGGUACGCGAGCUGGGUUUAGAACGUCGUGAGACAGUUCGGUCCCUAUCUGCCGUGGGCGCUGGAGAAUUGAGGGGGGCUGCUCCUAGUACGAGAGGACCGGAGUGGACGCAUCACUGGUGUUCGGGUUGUCAUGCCAAUGGCACUGCCCGGUAGCUAAAUGCGGAAGAGAUAAGUGCUGAAAGCAUCUAAGCACGAAACUUGCCCCGAGAUGAGUUCUCCCUGAGACUUUAAGUCUCCUGAAGGAACGUUGAAGACGACGACGUUGAUAGGCCGGGUGUGUAAGCGCAGCGAUGCGUUGAGCUAACCGGUACUAAUGAACCGUGAGGCUUAACCUU
rnacentral:rRNA from 1 species